rnacentral:tRNA from 3 species
GCCCCGGUAGCUCAGCAGGAUAGAGCGUUCCCCUCCUAAGGGAAAGGUCACAUGUUCGAAUCAUGUUCGGGGCG